AGUUUGAUCCUGGCUCAGGACGAACGCUGGCGGCGUGCCUAAUACAUGCAAGUCGAGCGGAUCAUCCCUUCGGGGAUGGUUAGCGGCGGACGGGUGAGUAACACGUAGGCAACCUGCCUGUAAGACUGGGAUAACUACCGGAAACGGUAGCUAAGACCGGAUAGCUGGUUUCUCCGCAUGGGGGAAUCAUGAAACACGGGGCAACCUGUGGCUUACGGAUGGGCCUGCGGCGCAUUAGCUAGUUGGUGGGGUAACGGCCUACCAAGGCGACGAUGCGUAUCCGACCUGAGAGGGUGACCGGCCACACUGGGACUGAGACACGGCCCAGACUCCUACGGGAGGCAGCAGUAGGGAAUCUUCCGCAAUGGACGCAAGUCUGACGGAGCAACGCCGCGUGAG
rnacentral:rRNA from 1 species